rnacentral:misc_RNA from 3 species
GAACGCACAUUGCGCCCCCUGGUAUUCCGGGGGGCAUGCCUGUUCGAGCGUCAUUUCACCACUCAAGCCUCGCUUGGUAUUGGGCAACGCGGUCCGCCGCGUGCCUCAAAUCGUCCGGCUGGGUCUUCUGUCCCCUAAGCGUUGUGGAAACUAUUCGCUAAAGGGUGUUCGGGAGGCUACGCCGUAAAACAACCCCAUUUCUAAGGUUGACCUCGGAUCAGGUAGGGAUACCCGCUGAACUUA